UACGUAGGGUGCAAGCGUUAAUCGGAAUUACUGGGCGUAAAGCGUGCGUAGGCGGUUUUUCAAGCUUGAUGUGAAAGCCCCGGGCUUAACCUGGGAAUGGCAUUGAGGACUGAGAGGCUAGAGUGCGGCAGAGGGAGGUGGAAUUCCACGUGUAGCAGUGAAAUGCGUAGAGAUGUGGAGGAACACCGAUGGCGAAGGCAGCCUCCUGGGCCGACACUGACGCUGAGGGCACGAAAGCGUGGGGAGCAAACAGG
rnacentral:rRNA from 1 species